AGUUUGAUCAUGGCUCAGGAUGAACGCUAGCGGCAGGCCUAACACAUGCAAGUCGAACGGUAACAGCAGAGCUUGCUCUGGCUGACGAGUGGCGCACGGGUGCGUAACGCGUAUACAAUCUGCCUAUUACUGGGGUAUAGCCCGAAGAAAUUUGGAUUAACCCCCCAUAGUAUUGAGAUAAGGCAUCUUAUUUCAAUUAAAACCACGGUGGUAAUAGAUGAGUAUGCGUCCUAUUAGUUUGUUGGUAAGGUAACGGCUUACCAAGACUUCGAUAGGUAGGGGUCCUGAGAGGGAGAUCCCCCACACUGGUACUGAGACACGGACCAGACUCCUACGGGAGGCAGCAGUGAGGAAUAUUGGACAAUGGAGGCAACUCUGAUCCAGCCAUGCCGCGUGCAGGAAGACUGCCCUAUGGGUUGUAAACUGCUUUUAUAGAGGAAGAAACCUCCCUUCGUGAAGGGAAUUGACGGUACUCUACGAAUAAGGAUCGGCUAACUCCGUGCC
rnacentral:rRNA from 1 species